rnacentral:rRNA from 1 species
UGGGGAAUAUUGCACAAUGGGCGCAAGCCUGAUGCAGCAACGCCGCGUGAAGGAUGAAGGGUUUCGGCUCGUAAACUUCUUUAGGCAGGGACGAAGAAAGUGACGGUACCUGCAGAAUAAGCCCCGGCUAACUACGUGCCAGCAGCCGCGGUAAUACGUAGGGGGCAAGCGUUAUCCGGAAUUACUGGGUGUAAAGGGUGAGUAGGCGGCUUCGUAAGUCAUAUGUGAAAUCCCUGGGCUUAACCCAGGGACUGCAUAAGAAACUGUGAGGCUAGAGUACAGGAGAGGUAAGCGGAAUUCCUAGUGUAGCGGUGAAAUGCGUAGAUAUUAGGAAGAACACCAGUGGCGAAGGCGGCUUACUGGACUGAAACUGACGCUGAGUCACGAAAGCGUGGGGAGCGAACA